UACAAGCCAAAGAACAAUAAAAAAGCUGACGCACCGCCGACAACAACAACAACAACAGCAACAACAACAACAGCAUGAAUGGCAACACUUGUGCGUGUGUCUCCGAGACUGCGAGUGCGACUUUAACUGCGGGUUGGGGUGUUACAAAUAGUGAAAUAGCCCAACGUACAUCGUAAAUAUUUCAGCUGCAACAACUAGGGAACAGGAGUGGCAACAGCAACAGCAACAACAAUGGGAGCAACAUGGACAGCAGCAGCAGCAAUAACGAGCAGCAACAGCAGCAGGAGCAGGAGCAGGAGCAGCGAGCAAGCGAGCGAACGCGCAUUAGGACUAUGACGAUGUUGUUGCGGGGCCAAGGAAUGAAUCGAUAGAUUGCACCUGGUACAUACAACGAAGAAAAUGUCCCUAACCAGAGCUAAAAGCAGAACCUCUACAACCUACGACACCAACCAAACCAGCAAACAACAAGAGCAGGAGCAAAAAAUAAAAGAAACAACAUUCAACAAAAACAAUAAAGGACCAAGUCGUAUAGGGUUUGGUAUUUUCCUGACAUGUCAGCCGAGGCGGGCGAGUGGGCGACUGGGCAGGAGUGGAGUCCGAUUCCGAGAUGGGUCAAAAAUUAAUGAAUAGAUUAUGAUUAAUGAGCGGCGACAUCAUUAAAAUGUAUUUAUAUAUUCAAAUUGCGGUUGCUGACCGAACAACAAGACAACCAUCAUGAAUGAAGCGACGCCCACACCAAAAAGCAAAAGCAAAAAAAGUCGUGCAGGGAUGUCCUGCCGCCAGUGAGACAGUGGGGCAGUAGUCGAGGCAUGAAUGGAGAACGGUCGCAUGCUGAAAUGUCAUAGCACCAACACAAAGCGUAUAACUGAAAAUGUUUAAUCAUUAGUUUGAAUUGCCGCAAAAAGUUUUUGGGGAAGCGAUGUCGCUUCUUUCUUCUAACUUAUUUUGUUUUUGCUUUUUUCAUUUCUAUUUUAUUUUCUGAGCGCAGCUAUUUACAACAUAUGAAAAAGUGCACACAGCAAAAUGUAAUAAAAACCACUGAAGGCAAAACCUAGUUGCGAAGAUAAAA